GACGAACGCUGGCGGCGUGCCUAAUACAUGCAAGUAGAACGCUGAAAGAGGAGCUUGCUUCUCCGGAUGAGUUGCGAACGGGUGAGUAACGCGUAGGUAACCUGCCUGGUAGCGGGGGAUAACUAUUGGAAGCGAUAGCUAAUACCGCAUAAUAGUAGAUGUUGCAUGACAUUUGCUUAAAAGGUGCAAUUGCAUCACUACCAGAUGGACCUGCGUUGUAUUAGCUAGUUGGUGGGGUAACGGCUCACCAAGGCGACGAUACAUGGCCGACCUGAGAGGGUGAUCGGCCACACUGGGACUGAGACACGGCCCAGACUCCUACGGGAGGCAGCAGUAGGGAAUCUUCGGCAAUGGACGGAAGUCUGACCGAGCAACGCCGCGUGAGUGAAGAAGGUUUUCGGAUCGUAAAGCUCUGUUGUAAGAGAAGAACGAGUGUGAGAGUGGAAAGUUCACACUGUGACGGUAUCUUACCAGAAAGGGACGGCUAACUACGUGCCAGCAGCCGCGGUAAUACGUAGGUCCCGAGCGUUGUCCGGAUUUAUUGGGCGUAAAGCGAGCGCAGGCGGUUAGAUAAGUCUGAAGUUAAAGGCUGUGGCUUAACCAUAGUACGCUUUGGAAACUGUUUAAUUUGAGUGCAAGAGGGGAGAGUGGAAUUCCAUGUGUAGCGGUGAAAUGCGUAGAUAUAUGGAGGAACACCGGUGGCGAAAGCGGCUCUCUGGCUUGUAACUGACGCUGAGGCUCGAAAGCGUGGGGAGCAAACAGG
rnacentral:rRNA from 1 species